ACAGAGAUUCAGCUUUUACCCACCACAAAUCCUGCCCUUCUUCCCUCAGCUUCCCUUCCCCCAGGCGCCUCUGAUUCCAAUUCCUUUUCCCUUCCCUUUUGAUCCAAAUCAGGUUCUGACACCUACUCAACUUUUAGCGCUAAUCACUUCCAUUCUGAAUCAACUGCAGGUAAAUCUUUUUUUUCAUAAACUACAAACUCACUAGUAAAGGGAGUUAGUAUUUAACUUUUUUCUUUCCUUAUUUUUAGGGCUUCCUUGGGGUAA